rfam:Operophtera brumata OBRT01_Sc01761, whole genome shotgun sequence.
CAUAAGGCCCUUUUCAGGGCCACCAUAUCUCAAGCUAGCCACUCACU